rnacentral:sRNA from 1 species
GGUUACAGAGUGCCACAUGUGUGGGCGAGACAAGGUCUCCAUAGGGUGGGAACCAGGCAGAACUCAGACAUGGCUCAUUCUUUUAGUUUCUGCUCCAUUUUCUUAGUGGUCAAAAUGAGAAACAAAGGAUAAAUGCCCAGCACUAGCAAAAAAGAGGGAACUGUGAUAUUUAGAGAUGGGGAGGAGGGAAAGGUUACCGACUAGCAUCGAAAUGAAUUUCCCAUUCUCCUUUACUAUUGUCGUCUUUCACAAACUCCCAGUGUGUCUAGAGAUAAAACCCCAACAUUUACUGUAGGGGUGCGUUUUUCCAAGGAGAUCCAAGGAUGUGAACUCUGUCUAUGGAAAGUGAAUGUCCAAAGGUAUGCAGGAAACAUUGACUAUAGCAAAGGCUUGCAAAGGGGCAACAACAUGGUGGGUGCAAGUGAAACAGAAAAAAAUGAGCCCAUCUUGGAGAAACUUUCUUGCCCUCUGUCUGGUGAUUUCUGUAGGCUUUUGCCUGGAUUCAUCCUGAUGGUAAUAAUUUCAGGGACCGGACUGUGUGAAUAAACAAAUAGAGGGCAUGGGAAAACACCCACACACACAUACUUUUGCCCAAUUUUCCCUUUGGCGAGUUUAUAGUAGCUACAAACAACAGAGGGAAAAAGACCUCAGCUUAAAACUGCCAAACACAGUGCCGUCAGGCUCAGCUGAACUUUGCAGAGUUGAAGAAUCUAAAACACCAAAAGUGUCUCUGUGAACUGACAAUGGACCAUGCCUGUUAAAGGGACAGCACUUCCUUUAGUCUAUGGAAUUUUGUUUUCAAAGUUGCAAUGUUCAUCGCCAAUGUUUUCCAUAAAUAAAUAACUAGUGGUCACUCUAGAGCCUAUAAUCAA